rnacentral:rRNA from 1 species
AACGAACGCUGGCGGCAUGCCUAACACAUGCAAGUCGAACGAGACCUUCGGGUCUAGUGGCGCACGGGUGCGUAACGCGUGGGAACCUGCCCUUAGGUUCGGAAUAACUCCCCGAAAGGGGUGCUAAUACCGGAUAAUGUCUUCGGACCAAAGAUUUAUCGCCUUUGGAUGGGCCCGCGUUGGAUUAGCUAGUUGGUAGGGUAAAAGCCUACCAAGGCGACGAUCCAUAGCUGGUCUGAGAGGAUGAUCAGCCACACUGGGACCGAGACACGGCCCAGACUCCUACGGGAGGCAGCAGUGGGGAAUAUUGGACAAUGGGCGAAAGCCUGAUCCAGCAACGCCGCGUGAGUGAUGAAGGCCUUAGGGUUGUAAAGCUCUUUUACCCGGGAUGAUAAUGACAGUACCGGGAGAAUAAGCUCCGGCUAACUCCGUG